UACAGAGGUCCCAAGCGUUGUUCGGAUUCACUGGGCGUAAAGGGUGCGUAGGUGGUGAAGUAAGUCGGAUGUGAAAUCUCGGAGCUUAACUCCGAAACUGCAUUGGAAACUACUUUGCUCGAGGGUUGGAGGGGGGACUGGAAUUCUCGGUGUAGCGGUGAAAUGCGUAGAUAUCGAGAGGAACACCAGUGGCGAAGGCGAGUCCCUGGACAACUCCUGACACUGAGGCACGAAAGCUAGGGGAGCAAACAGG
rnacentral:rRNA from 1 species